rnacentral:lncRNA from 1 species
GAUUAGAGCGGUGAGUCGCGCUGGUCACACUGCACACCUGCGGGUUGGGAGAUUCUGGAGCCAGAAGGAGAGCCGAAUGGCCUUCGCCCGCCCUGCCCCUCGUCCGCUUCAGAAAUCCCCGGAAACGCCCCGGUCCGCGAUCCGGGCCCGAGCAGCCAGGGGGCCCAAGGGAAGCUGAACGCCGGGUGAGCUACCCGGAUGGCUCUUCCGGUUCUUUGUGCGGCCUUCACCCAGUGAGGGAGCCUGUGCCCCCUGCCCAGUCGCUUUCGGGGCGCUGAGGAGCUUCCGCUGCCAUCUUCGGAUGCUGUGUCCCGCACGGAGGGUCCACCAGGGCAGGGAUAGUGGUGAGGGUCGCUCGUGGAUCCCCUCGCGGGGAGCAGGGUCUGGCACACACCAGGGCGCAGGAUUAGGACUUGUUGAAUGAAUCCAUCGUGGCCUUUAUCUUUUAGUCCUCUGAAGAGCGUUGAGAAUGGAAAUCAUAAGAUAUUUUUUCCAUUAGGAAGUUCUUUUUACAAGGCGUUUAUUCAGGUUGACUUCUCGGCACCCCGCGGGGCGGGCAACGGGCAGGGCCUCCAGUGCACCUUCUGCGCAGUGGAGCCGCGGGGGCCCAGCUGGGCGGUGGUCGGGUCGUGAGGCGGGAGGGCGGGAGCGGGGGAAGGGAAAAGCAAAAGCGGGGAAAGAAGCCGGGGAGCGGUGGACCAGACAUUCAGACCUCCUGAAAGGCUCGUGCGGAGGCAGAGGCGGGAUCUUCCGGAGGUGAGAAUUGUUUUGUUAUUGUAGCAGAAUGGGGAGGAAUUGAGGGGAAAAUGGAGAUAGAACCUGAAAGAGCCCCAAACGCGAGAACGUGUAGCUCCCCAAGUGUAAGAUCUCACAGAAGAACUAGACUGAAAACUAGGCGUCUGGGAAGCCUGAAAUCCUUGGAGGAGUGGCAUCAUCAUGACCCUCUGUGUUCUCACUUAUAAGUGGGAGCUGAAUGAUGAGAAUACAUGGACAGAUAGAGUGGGGGUGGGGACAACACACACUCGAGCCUGCCAGAGGGUAGGGCUGGGAAGAGGGAGAGCAUCAGAAAGAGGAGCUAAUGGAUGCUGGGAUUAGUACCUGGGUGGUGGGAUGAUCUGUGCAGCAAACCACCAUGGCACAGGUUUAUCUAUGGAACAAACCUGCACAUCCUGCACGUGUACCCCUGAAAUUAAAGUAAAAAUUGGAAAUAAAACAUUUAAAAAGAAAAGAAAACAAACAACAACAACAAAAAAGAGUGGUGCAAAUCUGUACCAGGCUUAUUGUAAACAAAAGAAUGAGAAUGAAAACAUGGAUAUCAGACAAAGGGAAAUGGCAAAAGAACGCUUUACAUUAGCUAGAGGAGUAAUAUCCUAGCAUCUAACUAGAAUAGAAUGGAAUCGAAUGGAAUUGUUUUUCCCUGAACUGGCCUCCUUGGGUGGCCGACGAGGGCGAGGUGAAGGGAAGACAUCUUGGAGUGAAAUGUCCGUUUCUUCGCUCUUGUUUUGGUCUCUGUAAGGCAUAAGAAGUUAAAAGCAAGAUCUGAUCCCUGGCAUUUUCCAGGAAUUUGAAAUAGGUACAUGAGGAGAGAAGCUCAAUUAUUACCCAGGUCUCUGGGACUAUCCCAGGCACAAUCCCAAGAGUCCAGCUUUCCAAACCAGGGUCCCUGGGUUCUGAAGGCCUUUUUGGGGAAAGUACUGAUGUUCGUGUCAAGGUUGGGAGGAAGGGUUUGGAAGGCCCCAGGCGAUGGGAAGGCAAAGAGAAGGUAUCAAGAAGCAAGGCAAGAACUUUCCACAGGUUCACGUUGGAUACAGCACCGGAGACAAGAAACUGAGUGAAUUUCUGGUGUUUUCUUACAGAGGUUUGUUAUCCAGUUGUACAGAGUCUAUUUCAGAAUAAGUCUUUUUCAAAUCAGCUCUUUUAAUGUGAAGCCAUAACUUUCUGGUGUUGCCUGAUGCAAAUCUCUAAUGUGAGCCUUUGCCCUGGGUGUCCUUUUUGUUAAUUACAUGUUCCAAAGAGAACACGGUAAAAAUCUUGACUCCUCUUCCCAUCUCCCGAUCUUACCUUUUUCCAUGUAAAGGCCGCAGUUUUUGCUAGCAGGAGGCGUCAGUGGUUUUAGUGGUGGAAUUCCUGCCUCCCAUGCACGAGAUCCGUGUUCAACUCCUGGUUGGUGCAGCGUGCAGUUUCCGCACAAUGCGGUUUUUACAUUUAUUUACCAUAACUGUGUAUACUCAGGCAGGUCACAGCCGCAAUAAUAAACAGAAGGAAAAGGGAACUACUGUAUAGCUUUCCAGUUCCUUCUGGAGUGGAAUUUCUCUAAGCAAGGACUUCGCAGAGACUGUCUUUGAAGCAGCUAGUGUGUCUGGUUGGUCUCUGCGUUUGCAUAUUUGGCCCUAAAACCGACGGGACGUUUAUUGUCUCUUCUGGCGGAUCCCUGAAAUACACAGUCACCUGGACACUGAUUUCACUGACUGGACCUUGGACAGACCACGUAUCGCGGUGGAGUGAGGCUCAAGAAAGGAGAGAAGCUGUGGGGUCGGACAGACACACGCAGUGGGGAAGGGGCAGUGGGUACGGGGGCCCAGGGACAGGGGAGGCGUGUGGGAAGGAACCCGCACGCAGAUGAGGGGAGCUGCAGAGAGGGACCUCGGAUCUUCCUGUCGAGGAAGGCCCAGUCUUUGGUGGUAUCGGCAAAAUGAAGGAUGGGCCCCAAGUGGAGAGCAGCACGUCCCCAAAACUCAUUUCGAUUACCCCUGUUUUAUACUCCACCAAGCAAAUCUUCUAUCUAGGGGAUUCUUUGUAAUACGUCUCUUUAAGCAUCGUGCUGGAGAGGCCAUGACAAUCAUUACCUCUGGAGAUUUGCGGAGGAAAGCUGGAAAAGGAAAGCCCCGGGAUCAUCUGGUUUGUCCUCCCCUGUUUUCAUCUACUCUUUUCCUCAGGGAAGCUUAUAUUGUGUCCAGGAGUCGCAUCGCAGCUGCGUCACUGGUGGAUUAAGAUCCG